UGGGGGACCACAAGUGCCGUUAAUUACACAUUUUAGAAUCCAAACUAACGCGCUUUCUUCUGCAAUCACCUUUUGUGUGAACCAUCGUUUUCUUUCUUUUUCCUUUUCUUCCACCUCAUCCUUGCUUCGGAAUAAUUCGCACUUUAGAAUAAUCACUUGUUGUCACACAUUAUCAUAAACGGCUAACUGAAGCCAUCUGAGGCUACUGAUAAGAGAGAU
rnacentral:lncRNA from 1 species